AAACUACUAGCUUUUCACCAGGUACGUCUCUAAAACCCUAAACCUAGCCUCCCUCUCUGUUUUUUCCUCUCUCCAAGUACAGAGAGGUAAUCAACAAAGCCGCAUCAACCACGCCGCCGGACUCUCCAACCUCCAAUUUUCAAUAGUAGGGGGGGUGAUAGCUGGUGAAGCUUUAAGAUGGUGCAGUAUAAUUUUAAGAACAUUACUGUAGUUCCAAAUGGGAAGGACUUCAUUGAUAUAAUUUUGUCUCGUACUCAACGGCAAACGCCGACUGUUGUCCAUAAGGGCUAUGCUAUCUCUCGCCUACGCCAAUUUUAUAUGCGUAAAGUGAAGUAUACCCAGACGAACUAUUAUGACAAGCUCUCUACAAUCAUCGACGAGUUUCCUCGUCUUGAUGAUAUCCAUCCUUUUUAUGGAGAUCUUCUUCAUGUGCUCUACAACAAAGAUCACUACAAGCUUGCCCUUGGCCAAAUCAAUACCGCAAGGAAUCUGAUUAGUAAGAUUGCUAAAGAUUAUGUCAGGUUGUUGAAGUAUGGUGAUUCGUUGUACCGAUGCAAGUGUCUCAAGGUUGCUGCUCUUGGUCGCAUGUGCACUGUCAUAAAAAGGGUUGCUCCUAGUUUGGCUUACUUAGAACAGAUCAGACAGCAUAUGGCUAGGCUACCUUCAAUUGAUCCAAAUACUCGGACGGUCUUGAUUUGUGGGUAUCCCAAUGUGGGCAAGAGUUCCUUCAUUAACAAGAUCACUAGAGCUGAUGUGGAUGUCCAGCCCUAUGCUUUCACCACAAAGUCGCUCUUUGUCGGUCAUACAGACUAUAAAUACCUAAGGUAUCAAGUCAUUGAUACACCUGGUAUUUUGGACCGGCCUUUUGAGGAUCGCAAUAUUAUUGAGAUGUGCAGUAUCACAGCUUUGGCACAUCUUCGAGCUGCAGUGUUGUUCUUCUUAGACAUCUCGGGGUCUUGUGGAUAUACCAUUGCACAACAGGCUGCACUUUUUCACAGCAUUAAGUCUCUGUUUAUGAACAAACCUUUGACUAUUGUAUGCAACAAGACUGAUUUGCAACCACUUGAAGGUUUAUCAGAGGAAGAUAUGAAGUUGGUCAUGGAGAUGAAAGCUGAAGCUAUGAAGACGGUGAUUGGUCAAGGAGGUGAGCCUACUGAUGACCAAGGGGUGCUGCUGACCAUGAGUACUUUGACUGAGGAUGGGGUAAUUGCUGUGAAAAAUGCAGCUUGUGAGAGGUUAUUGGAUCAGAGGGUUGAAAUAAAGAUGAAAUCCAAAAAGAUAAAUGAUUGCUUAAAUCGUUUUCAUGUUGCGAUUCCAAAGCCACGGGACCAGAAGGAAAGGCCACCUUGUAUACCUCAGGCAGUUUUGGAAGCUAAAGCGAAGCAAGCAGCAGAGAAGGAAAAGAGGAAAACUGAAAAGGAUUUGGAGAAUGAGAAUGGUGGUGCAGGUGUAUACUCUGCUAGUUUGAAGAAGAAUUAUAUCUUAGCUAAUGAUGAAUGGAAAGAAGAUGUAUUGCCAGAAAUUCUUGAUGGGCACAAUGUAUAUGACUUCAUUGAUCCUGAUAUUUUACAAAGGCUUGAGGAGUUGGAACAAGAAGAAGGGCUAAGGCAGGCAGAGGAAGUUGAUGAUGAUUUUGAGAUGGAUGGCAAGGAAUUGACUCCGGAAGAGCAACAAGCAUUGGCUGAGAUUAGGAAAAAGAAAAGCUUACUCAUUCAGCAGCACAGGAUCAAGAAAAGCACUGCAGAGAGCCGGCCUAUUGUACCAAGAAAAUUUGACAAGGACAAGCAGUUCACAACCAGGAGAAUGGGAAGGCAGCUAUCUGCUUUGGGGCUGGAUCCAUCUAAGGCCAUUGAUCGAGCCCGUAGUAGGUCGAGGGGUCGGAAGAGGGAGAGGUCACCUGAUAAUGAUGGUGGUGAUGCUAUGGAUAUGGAUGUGGACACACCUAACAAGAGGCUGCGAAUGAGGUCUAGAUCCCGAUCAAGGUCAGUCUCACGGCCACCGGGUGAACUUGUCCCUGGAGAGGGCUUCAGGGACUCCGCUCAAAAGGUUAAGGCACAAAAGCUGGCAAAGAAAUCUUCCAAGAAGAGGAACAAGGAUGCACGUCGUGGUGAGGCAGAUAGGGUAAUACCUACUUUGAAACCAAAGCAUUUGUUCUCUGGGAAGCGGUCCAGCGGAAAAACUGAUAGACGUUGAUUUACUAGAGGGCAUGUUGGUUCAUGGUUCGUGGGGACAGAAUUCCUUGGGUUUACUUGCAGUCAAGAAAGAAUUUUGUUCGAUCAAUUCUUUGGUUUGGCUGUAGGUUGCACACUUCUUGACCAUGGCAGCAUAUCAGCAGAUUUUUGUUAUCUUCUUUGUUUUUUGCAUAAUGUUGAGGCAAUUUUGAGUUUGAGAAACGAUUUAAAUUAUAAUUUUUCCUAAGCGACUAGAGCGUGACUUCAUAUUAAAUUUUUUGGUUGGUUUUUUCUCUUAAUCUGGUAAUGUGUACUAGUUCACAGAUGAAUUUGGCUUAAUUGCUGUUUGUUAGAUACUCCCAAGACCUAAUUCAAAUUAUGUUUUCAUUGAUGACCGUUUUGAAACAA